UGUUUUGCAGAUGUCUAAAAAGAAUAUCUUUCCACAUAAAUAUUUCCGUUUCCACAAUUAUAAUUAUAUUGAUCUUGCAUAAUAAUUUUUCCAUUGAGCAUUAUUUUAGCACUAGUUGGCGUAAAAUGAGCUACUUGGAGGAAUAUAAAAAUGGUGAUGUUGAAGCAAUACAACAUUUUGAAUAUUGCUCUUAAAUGACAUUGCUUAAUUUUCAAAAUUUAAAUUGAUUUUAUACUUUAUCAGAUGACAUGGGUAGUAACAUCAGAAGGAUUUAGAUCUAGGGUUGUUUGGGUUAUAAUUGUUUAAAAUACAUCUUUUUUGCUUUGUUGCAGAAACAAGCAGCAUGUCAGGAGAAGAUAGAACAGUUAAAUGCCUCAUC